rnacentral:rRNA from 1 species
AACGUAGGAGACAAACGUUAUCCGGAGUUACUGGGCGUAAAGGGCGUGCAGGCGGCAGCCUAAGUCUGGCGUGAAAUAUCCCGGCUUAACCGGGAGAGGUCGUCGGAUACUGGGCAGCUAGAGGGCGGUAGAGGCGUGUGGAAUUCCGGGUGUAGUGGUGAAAUGCGUAGAGAUCCGGAGGAACACCAGUGGCGAAGGCGACACGCUGGGCCGCACCUGACGCUAAGACGCGACAGCAUGGGGAGCGAAC